UACGUAGGCAGCAAGCGUUGUUCGGAAUUACUGGGCGUAAAGAGUGUGUAGGCGGUGCUCCAAGUCUGGUGUGAAAUCUCCCGGCUUAACUGGGAGGGUGCAUUAGAAACUGGAAUGCUAGAGGAUGGGAGAGGUAAGCGGAAUUCCUGGUGUAGCGGUGAAAUGCGUAGAUAUCAGGAGGAACACCAAUUGCGAAGGCAGCUCGCUGGGACGUUACUGACGCUGAGACGCGAAAGCGUGGGGAGCAAACAGG
rnacentral:rRNA from 1 species